UACGAAGGGGGCUAGCGUUGCUCGGAAUCACUGGGCGUAAAGCGCACGUAGGCGGACUCUUAAGUCGGUGGUGAAAUCCUGGAGCUCAACUCCAGAACUGCCUUUGAUACUGGCGAUCUUGAGUCCGGGAGAGGUGAGUGGAACUCCGAGUGUAGAGGUGAAAUUCGUAGAUAUUCGGAAGAACACCAGUGGCGAAGGCGGCUCACUGGCCCGGUACUGACGCUGAUGUGCGAAAGCGUGGGGAGCAAACAGG
rnacentral:rRNA from 1 species